CCUACGGGGGGCAGCAGUGAGGAAUAUUGGUCAAUGGACGCGAGUCUGAACCAGCCAAGUCGCGUGAGGGAAGACGGCUCUAUGGGUUGUAAACUUCUUUUGUACGGGAGUAAACGCCGCUACGCGUGUCUUUCUGAGAGUACCGUACGAAUAAGGAUCGGCUAACUCCGUGCCAGCAGCCGCGGUAAUACGGAGGAUUCAAGCGUUAUCCGGAUUUAUUGGGUUUAAAGGGUGCGUAGGCGGUAGGUUAAGUUAGCGGUGAAAUUCCGAGGCUCAACUUCUGAAUUGCCGUUGAAACUGGUUGUCUUGAGAGUAGGUGAGGUAGGCGGAAUGCAUGGUGUAGCGGUGAAAUGCUUAGAUAUCACGCAGAACACCGAUUGCGAAGGCAGCUUACCAGGCUACUACUGACGUUGAGGCACGAAAGUGUGGGUAGCGAACAGGAUUAGAUACCCGAGUAGUC
rnacentral:rRNA from 1 species